GGAGAGGUGGCCGAGUGGCUGAAGGCGGCGGUUUGCUAAACCGUUGUACAGUGUAAAGCUGUACCGUGGGUUCGAAUCCCAUCCUCUCCGCCA
rnacentral:tRNA from 5 species